GAAGGUCCUGGAAAAACCACCUUUUCCGCAGAAAUUCACGUUCAUUCCCAGGAGGAUGAAGGUGCUGCCCAGAAACCCCCUGAACUUCCCAACGUUACAACUUCAUCCCAUUUCGAGAUUUCCCCCUUCCCAAGGCAGCCUGCUCAGCCUUUACUGGUGCCAUACAAACCUUCUGGAAGCACUGGGAUGUAUUAUGUUCCCUUCCUAAAAGGAGGAGCCAAAAUGUCUCCAGUUGAGUCAGAAACCAGUGGUGGGAGCUCUCACUCAGGGUCAAAUGAUGCUCCUCCUCCUCCAAGGUUUGUGCCCCACUUGCCUGGUCUGAGGGAUGAGAAUCCUCCAGGAAGUGCAGCUCUCCAGCAAAAAGAAGGAUACCACAGUAAGAGGGCCAAGCCUAAGCUGGCCUGGGCUGAGGAGCAAAGGAUCCCCCUGGAAGAUUCUGCAGAGCACAGAGAUCAUUCCAAACCUGUAAAAACCACUCAUUCCACCUUCAAAUCCACACGGUUCUACCUCCACCACCCCAUGCCCACGUGUGACAGCAGCGAGUUCUCCGAGGACAGUUCCGGACUGGGAAUUGCUCCGCCUUCCUCCGGCGGUGCCUGGAAAAAACCACACCGGCAUCAACGGGUGUUCUCUGCCCGUCACAGGAAAAGUGGGAAAAAGGAGUUCUUUCCACUCACUGCAGAAGCAGAUGAGAGUAAAAAUGAGGAUGUUGGGAAUGAGACAGCAGGGAUGGAGCGACGUCAGCACAGGAGAGAAGCAGAACAAGGAGCAGCUGGGAAUCCUCCUCUGCCACGGAGCCAAACAACUCUCCUUGAGGAGAACAUGGAGAAACAACCAAGGCAGAGAACCCACUCCAGUGGGAGCUUGGAUGAGCUCUGGGUGAAGUUCCUGGAGAGGCAGAGGAGGCACCAGCACCACGAUUUGAGGAGUACCGGGGAGCUGUCGCUGGUGGAACGCCUGGAUCGGCUGGCCAGGGUCCUGCAGAACCCCAUCCAACACACCCUGAUCCCAGCAAAAGCUGGGAGCAACGUUCCUGAAAGGAAAACCGAGGGAAGGGAGCGGACAAAAACAGGAUUGGGAGAGAACAGCACGUCCGGGAGCGGCGCGGAGCCGACGGCGACGCGAGUUGGGCAAAGAGCGCGGGACAACCCCAGCCUGGGGGAGCUCGGGGAGAAACGGGGAGAAGAGACAACGACUCACCACAGCACCCAAAUCCCUGGGGAGCAGCACCCCCUGCAAUCUCCCAGCGACAACUCCUGGGAGACCAGGCUGAGCGGAGAGCACGGCACCAGCGCCUCCGAGUGGGACACGGCCACGGAGCCGGACACCACGAGCGGGAGGAGCAGCUCCCUGUCCACCAUCGACACCGCCAGGCUGCUCAGGGCCUUCGGCCACCACAGGGUCCGGCUGUCUCCGAGGCUUUCCCGGCUCUACUCCACCAUCAGCCACCAGAAGAGCCGCUCGGAACAGUGGGACGAGGGAAGCGGCGAAGCGGCGGGCGCGGAAUAUCCGAAGGUCGGAGCUGAGAGGAGCGGGAGGAGGAGGCAGAUCCAGAGCACCAUCACCUUUUCCUCAGAUUCCACCUGUGCCAGCAGCACCUCUUGGGGUCCCAGCUGUGCCCUCAGCACCAAGAGACGGACACGGAUGCUGAACAAAGGGAUCCAGGCGGGAGACUUGGAGAUUGUCAACAGUGCAACCAAGAGAAACACCCGAGAUGUUGGAUUGACUUUUCCAACGCCAAGAUCCGUCCAGCCAUCCCAGAGCAUCCCUCGGGAAUGCUGGCAUCGUGUCCAUGCAGGGACUUCGUGGUUUGUCCAAGGAGAAGGCUCGAAAUCUGAAUCUAGGAAAGAAAACCAUUCCAGUGCCGUUUCUGGCCCUGGGCCGUCCUGGUUCGAGCCCUGGAGCAGCACCAAGCCCUGGAGGGAACCGCUCCGAGAGAAGAACUGGGAAGGGCAGCAGCACCACGAGGCUCCAGCAGCAGCUCUGGACAGAGGGGCUGGGAAGGGGCCUGUGCUGCCCUUUGUGAAGCUCACGCUGCAGGAGGCUCUGGCCGUUCAUCGCCCCGAUUUCAUCUCCCGCUCCGGGGAGCGAGUGAAGCACCUCAAGCUGGUGAUGGAGGAGAGGAGGAUCCAGAGGGGGCUGCAAUCCCAGCGGGAAGAGCUUGGGAAUUCCCUCGGGAAGAGAAAGGGCUGCAGGAGUUCCACUCACCUGCUGGCCGACAGAGGUUUUCCAGGGAGGGAAAAAAGAAGAGCAAUUCCAAAGAGUGAAAUGGUCCAGAGGUCUAAAAGGAUCUAUGAGCAGCUUCCAGAGGUGAGGAAGAAGAGGGAGGAGGAGAAGAGAAGGCUGGAAUACAACUCGUACCGCCUGAAAGCACAGCUCUAUAAAACAAAAAUCACCAACCACAUCUUAGGGAAGAAGGUGCCUUGGGACUGAUGGGAAUGAUCCCUUCAAACCACCCUGGGAUGUUCCAGCCCCGGAGCAGAAUGUGACGUGGAAGGAAAAAAAAACCAAAACACGCAGGGAAUGCUUUUACAGCUCAGAUUUUGUGGUGUUGGGUGGCUUUUUGUACUGAUCUGAUCUUGCCCUGUUUAAGAAUCAACGAUUUGGGAUGAGUGUCAGGCUUUUAUGGGGGUUUUUUUUGUAGGGGUUUGAUGCGCUUCCAAAGUCAGCAUAGUUGGGAAAAACUCGCCUCAUAAUAUAUUUACAGCUCCCUGAUUGGAAUAGAGGCUUUCUAUAUUUAUUUUCAAUGGGGUUUGAACAAUGAUUUUUUUAUUAUUAUUUUUUGAAUUCCUGUCUUGUAGAAAAUUUCCUUGUUUUUAAUAACAACAAAAAAAAAAACCUGAAUAAAGCACCUGAGUUGUAGUAAACUGUUGCAGCUUGUCUGGGGAUGAACCUGGAGAGAGUCUAAUCAGAGGUAUUUUUGAGGAUUUUGGGGGGAAUUUUUAAGGCUUUCCAGGGAGAAUCACCCCCACCUGAUGAGAUGGUCAUGUCCUGCCUGGUUGCACCUUCAACCAGCAUCACUUCAAAGAGAAAAUACAGAGGUUUGUGGUUCUUGGUGGUAAAAUCUUAAGUGAUGUUUUUCUUGUCACUGUGGAGCUCGUGUGGUGGAUAAACAGGAAAAAACACAUCUGAGGGAGAAUGAAGUGGGUGUGAGCUGUGGUUUCCUAUUCUCUCUGCCUCAGGUGUUCUCAGUAACUCAGUUCAAGGAGCAGUUUUGAGAAAACGCCCAAUUCUGCGGAAACUGAGGCACAGCUCGGAGAGGGAAGGCUCUGGAGAGACCUUCCAGCACCUUCCAGGGCCUGGAGAGGCUCCAGGAGAGCUGGAGAGGGACUGUGGGGACAAUGCAUGGAGGGACAGGACACAGGGAAUGGCUUCAAACUGGAAAAGUGAAGAUUUAGAUGGGAUAUUGGGAAGGAAUUGUUGGUUGUGUCUGAUACAGGAAUGGACUUGUUCCCUGGGACGAGAAAUUGGGGUGUCUUGGGAGUCCUGACAAGAUCUUCCCUCACUUUGAACUCGUUUAAGGCCAUUCAGCUGCUUAACUCUGCCUUUAGCUUUGCAAUGAUGAAACACCAAAGGGAGCUGAAGGGCUUUGAUGAUGGAAAAGCCCUCUGAGGUCAAGUCCAAGCAUUCCCAGCACUGCCAAGGCCACCCCUGUCCCCAAGUGCCACAUCCCCUCCAGGGAUGGGGAUCCACCCCUGCCCUGGGCAGCUGUGCCAGGGCUGGUUUCAUCACCCUUUGGGUGCUGAAAUCUUCUCCCAAAAUUGAUGAGGAGGGGAGUGUUGUCGUCCAUCCCUCCCUCGGUUUCUCCCUCAGGGAUUCUCGUGAAGCUGACUCACCCCCAUUCCACUGCCAUGGGAUAAAUCUUGUGCUGGAUGCAGAGCAGCCAGUGUUUACAGUUCUGGGGGAAGGAGACUGUUGAUGUUUGGAGUCCCUGCUUCCAACACUCCAAACUUCAUUCCAAGAACUCAGCUUGGCUUGUGUUGCUUCCAGAGUGGAGUCAUCCAGUGAAGUUCUGCAAAUUUUGGGGAGCUCAGUGAGGACAGAACUGAUUUUUUUUUUUUUUUUUGGACUCCUGCAGGAGCAGAUUUUUACUCUCAAUUAAUCAGGAAUGUUCUUGGAUCAGCAGCCUCCCCUCACAGGGAUUGCUGUGUGUCCACAACCUGAACUUGAGGUGGGAAACGUGGUGGAUGGGGUGGACAAACAAGGAACUGGAAAAGAGGUAUUAAAAAAUCCACCUUAUGCUUUGAGACUUGAUUUUAAAAUAAGAGGCUUUUUAUUUUUUGCACCUUCCACUUCCUCUUCCAUGGCCAUUUCCAAGAGUUCUCCCUUUUGUGCUGGAAAUUCCACCCUGAGAGACUUUUAGAGAAACAUGGUCAGUCCUCUGGUUUUUGGUGGGUGUUUUUGGAGUCCCUCCUAUGGAGAACCACUCAAGUUUGUUUGGAUUUUUUUUGGAAUCCUUUCCAUGGAGAACCCUUCUCAUAUCAGGCCCUGAUGGGGCUUGAGUGGAUGUUUGGGACACAUUCUCUCAUUGCUGGUAACUGGAAAGAAUCCCUUGGAAAUCUCUUGUGACGAGGAUGUAAAAAUAGAGCUGGAGCGCCCAAUUUCCUUGGAAAAGGAAGUUCCUCCCAGAAUUCAGUCAUGUUACCAAACAUCUGCCUGGAUGUGGCCUGGUCCAGUGUGGUGGCUGCUGGAGGACCCUUCCCAGAAGGAAUUCUGGUGGUAAAUUUGUAGGCAUUGUAGGAGAACACAACGGGACGACUUGGAAGAGGAGGAGGCAAGGAAGGAUUUGCCCUGUGGAACUGCAGCAGAUAAACUGAAUUCCCCGGGUCAGAGGAGCCCCCGAGGGCGGGUGAAGGACCCCCGGCGUGACAAAUGGAAGCGGCGGUGAUUAAUGCGCUCCUGGAAGGCGCUCAAAUUCCACGGGGAUGAGGACACUUGGGAGAGGUCUUCCUAGGGAAAAAGGGGAUUUUUUAAAUCCAGUCCAAUUUCAUCCCUGUGCCCAUGUGGGAUGCAGCCCUGUUGCUUCAUCAGAAGCUGCUUCAAACUUCGUGAUGUAGGAGAGACUCCAGCUCGUUUUCCUGAAGUUGUGGUUUCCCUACCUGAGAUGGAUUCGGUGGAUUCCAUGAAUCCCCCUGUGUGGCUGCUGGUCCCAGCCAGGCCUCCAUGAGUCAUCUGCUGAGGAGCCAGCCCUGACCUUCCUCUGGACAGGGAUGAGCCCCCUGAGACUUCCCCGUUGGAUCUGGAGGAGAUGACGCUCCAGCCGUGGCCUCCUCAGCUCGAGUUCCUGUGACAUCACGUGUGGAUUGAACUGUCAUUUGAAGGGAUUGUGUGAAGUUUGGUCUGAAGAGACUUUUUUGGGGGUCUGUCAGGGCAAAAGCUUUUUUGAGCAGCAGAGAAGUGUUUUACUAGAGAAGGGCAAUGCAUCCAGGGAAGGGAACGGAGCUGGGAAGGGGCUGGAGCAGCAGGAGCAGCUGAGGGAACUGGGGGGGCUCAGC